CGGGCUAGAAGAUGAGUUGACAGAGUAUGCCAUCCUACGCUGUCUAAAGGCUAGAUUAAUUUGGAGAAGGAUGAGAGGCCAGCCUUGGGAGAUGAUCGGGGAUCAUUUGAUAGAGUCCUUAAGCAUGAUUCGAUGGAGUAUAGCCGACAAGAUGACCUCCACUUUGGGAGAAAGGAUGGUUUACAUUGUCUAUCAGAUUUGGCUAUUC
rnacentral:lncRNA from 1 species